AUUGAACGCUGGCGGCAGGCCUAACACAUGCAAGUCGAACGAGUGGCGGACGGGUGAGUAAUGUCUGGGAAACUGCCCGAUGGAGGGGGAUAACUACUGGAAACGGUAGCUAAUACCGCAUACCAUCGGAUGUGCCCAGAUGGUAUUAGCUGGUAGGUGAGGUAACGGCUCACCUAGGCGACGAUCCAUAGCUGGUCUGAGAGGAUGACCAGCCACACUGGAACUGAGACACGGGCCAGACUCCUACGGGAGGCAGCAGUAGGGAAUCUUCGACAAUGGGCGCAAGUCUGACCGAGCAAUGCCGCGUGAGUGAAGAAGGCCUUCGGGUUGUAAAGUACUUUCGGUAGGGAGGCGUUACCCGACGAAGAAGCAACGGCUAACUACGUGCCAGCAGCCGCGGUAAUAC
rnacentral:rRNA from 1 species